UUGCAGGUGAAGUGCAGAUUACAAUCUCCAUGUUCCAGAAUUAUUAAAAAGAGCAUAUGGAAACGAUCGUCCAAGAAUUGAUUACAUUGGCUCAAAUCCAGGAAUGCACACAGAUAGCUGGAUGACCAUCGAAAGUCCAAUUCAUUGCCAACAUGUAUUGGUUCCUCCAGGCAUAUAUGGUCAGUGAUCGUUGGUGGACAAAUCAAAAUUGGUACGUAUAUGACAGGGUAGCUUGACGAAAUGGUCAUUGAUGAGGAAACUGGAGUGGCAUGUAUUCUGCAGUGUGCACCUAACCGUGUAAAUAACAUCAGGUUCAUACAUUCCUUUCGUCAAGCAUGAAUUAUACAACCUGACACUACGCACAUGCUAUGUGUACUUUUUCUUAAGUGGAGAUGUGUAGCCUAGCACACAAGAGUGAAGGAAAUUAUGUUCAUUGAUGAGUCAAUAGUUUGAAGCGACCUUAUACACAUAGAAAUAGAAUCGAUUGAUACUGAA